AGCAAGUUAGCAUACUUGUACUUAUAAACACACUCUUGUAGUUGUUUAUUUGUAAACAACGCUUGCAAGCAUCACUUGAUUCACACAAAACACUUUCAUCGUUGGGCACAAAAGCUUAACUUAGAUCAAAUCUAAGUCGCUAGACGAGAGUUAGAAGUUACUCCGUGACACUUUGCAUUAUUGUAAUCAGCAUCAUCAGCAGCACCGCAAUCAGCAUCAUCGUCAACACCGUAAUGAGCACAUCGUCAACAUCAGCACGGUAACACCACCGUCAGUACAUCUGACGAUAACAUCCCACACCACCACCGUCAGCACAUCUCGUAAUCAGCAUAACACUGUAAUCAACACAUUAAUCAGCACCGUAAUCAACACAAUUUCUUGUUUUUUUUUUUUAAUUUUGUAAACAACAUAUACUAUUACAUAACUAGCACAAUUUCAUCUUUUUUAAUUUUAUAAAUAACACAUGUUGUUACAUAGUAGCACAA